GACGAACCGUGCGAACGUUGUUCGGAAUCACUGGGCUUAAAGGGCGCGUAGGCGGGUGUGCAAGUCUGUGGUGAAAGCCUCCAGCUUAACUGGAGAAGUGCCGUGGAUACUGCGCAUCUUGAGGAGGGUAGGGGCAUCUGGAACGGUCGGUGGAGCGGUGAAAUGCGUUGAUAUCGACCGGAACUCCGGUGGCGAAGGCGAGGUGCUGGACCAUUUCUGACGCUGAGGCGCGAAAGCCAGGGGAGCAAACGGG
rnacentral:rRNA from 1 species